rnacentral:rRNA from 1 species
UACGUAGGGUCCGAGCGUUGUCCGGAGUUACUGGGCGUAAAGCGCGCGCAGGCGGCCGUCCAAGCCCGGCGUGAAAGCCCCCGGCUCAACCGGGGAGGGUCGUCGGGGACUGGGCGGCUUGAGGGCGGCAGGGGUCGGUGGAAUUCCCGGUGUAGUGGUGAAAUGCGUAGAGAUCGGGAGGAACACCCGUGGCGAAGGCGGCCGACUGGGCCGUCCCUGACGCUGAGGCGCGAAGGCGUGGGGAGCGAACGGG